rnacentral:rRNA from 1 species
GACGAACGCUGGCGGCGUGCCUAAUACAUGCAAGUCGAGCGAUGAAGCUGGGUGCUUGCGCCAAUUUGAAGAGCAGCGAACGGGUGAGUAACGCGUGGGUAAUCUGCCUUUGAGCGGGGGACGACAUUUGGAAACGAAUGCUAAUACCGCAUAACAACUUUAAACAUAAGUUUUAAGUUUGAAAGAUACAUUUGCAUCACUCAAAGAUGAUCCCGCGUUGUAUUAGCUAGUUGGUUAGGUAAAGGCUCACCAAGGCGAUGAUACAUAGCCGACCUGAGAGGGUGAUCGGCCAAAAUGGGAAUGAGACAAGGCCCAAACUCCUAAGGGAGGCCGCAGGAGGGAAUCUUCGGCAAUUGACGAAAGUCUGACCGCGGACCGCCGCGUGAGUGAAGAAGGGUUUCGGAUCGUAAAACUCUGUUGGUAGAGAAGAAAGUGGGUGAGAGUGGAAAGCUCAUCAAGUGACGGUAACUACACAGAAAGCGACGGCUAACUACGUG